AACGAACGCUGGCGGCAUGCCUAACACAUGCAAGUCGAACGAGACCUUCGGGUCUAGUGGCGCACGGGUGCGUAACGCGUGGGAACCUGCCCUUAGGUUCGGAAUAACUCCCCGAAAGGGGUGCUAAUACCGGAUAAUGUCUUCGGACCAAAGAUUUAUCGCCUUUGGAUGGGCCCGCGUUGGAUUAGCUAGUUGGUAGGGUAAAAGCCUACCAAGGCGACGAUCCAUAGCUGGUUUGAGAGGAUGAUCAGCCACACUGGGACUGAGACACGGCCCAGACUCCUACGGGAGGCAGCAGUGGGGAAUAGUGGACAAUGGGCGAAAGCCUGAUCCAGCAAUGCCGCGUGAGUGAUGAAGGCCUUAGGGUUGUAAAGCUCUUUUACCCGGGAUGAUAAUGACAGUACCGGGAGAAUAAGCUCCGGCUAACUCCGUG
rnacentral:rRNA from 1 species